AUUGAACGCUGGCGGCAGGCCUAACACAUGCAAGUCGAGCGAGCGGCGGAAGGGUGAGAAAUGUGUGGGAAACUGCCUGAUGGAGGGGGAGAACAACUGGAAACGGUAGCUAAUAACGCAUACCAUCAGAUGUGCCCAGGUGGGAUUAGCUAGUGGGUGGGGUAACGGCUCACCUAGGCGACGAUCCCUAGCUGGUCUGGGAGGAUGACCAGCCACACUGGAACUGAGACACGGUCCAGACGCCUACGGGAGGCAGCAGUGGGGAAUAUUGCACAAUGGGCGCAAGCCUGAUGCAGCCAUGCCGCGUGUGUGAAGAAGGCCUUCGGGUUGUAAAGCACUUUCAGCCGGGAGGCGUUACCCGCAGAAGAAGCACCGGCUAACUCCCUGCCAGCCGCCGCGGUAAUUC
rnacentral:rRNA from 1 species